GUCUCAGGCCGUAUCAGCCUGAAGGCGCCCGAUCUCGUCUGAUCUCGGAAGCUAAGCAGGGUCGGGCCUGGUUAGGAUCUUGGAUCGGAGACCACCUGGGAAUCCCGGGUGCUCGAGGCU
ensembl:rRNA 5S_rRNA 5S ribosomal RNA